rnacentral:tRNA from 1 species
GCCCGGAUGGUGGAACGGUAGACACAAGCGACUUAAAAUCGUUUGCCGAAUAGGCGUGCGGGUUCAAAUCCCGCUCUGGGCA